rnacentral:rRNA from 1 species
CCUACGGGAGGCAGCAGUGGGGAAUAUUGGACAAUGGGGGGAACCCUGAUCCAGCCAUGCCGCGUGUGUGAAGAAGGCCCUCGGGUUGUAAAGCACUUUCAGUGAGGAAGAACGCCUGGUGGUUAAUACCCAUCAGGAAAGACAUCACUCACAGAAGAAGCACCGGCUAACUCCGUGCCAGCAGCCGCGGUAAUACGGAGGGUGCGAGCGUUAAUCGGAAUUACUGGGCGUAAAGCGCGCGUAGGUGGCUUGAUAAGCCGGUUGUGAAAGCCCCGGGCUCAACCUGGGAACGGCAUCCGGAACUGUCAAGCUAGAGUGCAGGAGAGGAAGGUAGAAUUCCCGGUGUAGCGGUGAAAUGCGUAGAGAUCGGGAGGAAUACCAGUGGCGAAGGCGGCCUUCUGGACUGACACUGACACUGAGGUGCGAAAGCGUGGGUAGCCAACAGGAUUAGAUACCCUUGUAGUC